GUAGUUGUGGCCGAGUGGUUAAGGUGAUGGACUAGAAAUCCAUUGGGGUUUCCCCGGGCAGGUUUGAAUCCUGCUGACUCUG
rnacentral:tRNA from 1 species